rnacentral:pre_miRNA from 1 species
GCAUUGAAGUGGCAGUGAUGUGCUGAUGUACUGUCAUAUCACAGCCAGCUUUGAUGACA